AUGGAGCUUUUGUUGGCUUCAUUGGAUCUUUGAGACAUUAUUGAUGAAAGUGAAGACCCUCCAAGUGACAAUGGUGAUAUCAAGGUGAAGAAGGAGUACAAACGUCAUAAAAGGAAGGCUUUUGGGAUGAUUGCAAUAAACCUUGAUGAUGCCAACUUUUCACAUGUUAUAGUUUGUAAUGGACCAAUGGAAGCAUCGAAGACUCUUUGUAACAUUUAUGAGAGUAGAAACCUUGCCAACAUCCUUUGGA
rnacentral:lncRNA from 1 species